UUCUCUCUUCCCUUGAAAAGAUGCAGACAGUGAGUGGCUUUGCAAUAGGCAAGCUGUUGUGCUUUCUCAUUGUAAUGACAGCAGAGGAAAAGCAAUCAAGAAAGAACUGAAAACCAUCUUGAAGUGCUCAAAAAUGUCCUGUGCAUGGGACAAAGCUCUUUGUACUUGAUGAAAGAUUGAAUCAAGUUGGACAGUGCUGAUACCUUGUUUCUUUUGUUUGCUCUAAGAGUAAACUAAUCUCAUUUA